rnacentral:rRNA from 1 species
GUGCCAGCAGCCGCGGUAAUACGGAGGGGGCUAGCGUUGUUCGGAAUUACUGGGCGUAAAGCGCACGUAGGCGGCUUAUCAAGUCAGGGGUGAAAUCCCGGAGCUUAACUCCGGAACUGCCUUUGAGACUGAUAGGCUUGAGUUCGGGAGAGGUAAGUGGAAUAACUAGUGUAGAGGUGAAAUUCGUAGAUAUUAGGUGGAACACCAGUGGCGAAGGCGACUUACUGGACCGAUACUGACGCUGAGGUGCGAAAGCGUGGGUAGCAAACAGGAUUAGAUACCCUGGUAGUCCACGCUGUAAACGAUGAGUUCUAGAUGUUGGGGGCCUUAGGCUUCCGGUGUCGCAGCUAACGCGUUAAGCACCCCGCCUGGGGAGUACGGCCGCAAGUUUAAAACUCAAAUGAAUUGACGGGG